rnacentral:rRNA from 1 species
AAACACCAAGGUUUGGCCCUAGCCUUUCCAUUAGUUAAAGAGGAUUACACGUGGAAGCCUCCGGAAGGGUGAAAAACGCCUCUCAAUCAUCAUGAUCUAAAGGAGUGGGUGUGAAGCACAAACAAUAACAAUGUAGCUCGUGACACCUUGCUUAGCCACACGCCCACGGGAUACAGCGGGAAUAAAAAUUAAGCCGUGAAUGGAAGUUCGACUAAGCCAUAUUAAAUUAGGGUUGGUACAUUUCAUGCCAGCCACCCGCGCGGUCACACGAUUCACCGAACUAAUAGACCCGCGGCGUAAAGCGUGUCAUAGAGGAACCCCACGUUACUGUUAAACUUUUACUAGGCUGGCAAAAGCUACAAGUAACAUACAACUAUAGCACGAAAGUAACUUUAACACCUCCGACCGCAGGAUAGCUAAAACCCAAGCUGGGAUUGGAUACCCCGCUAUCCUCAGCCCUAAACUUAGCUAAUUAAACAAAUCUAUCCGCCAGAGAACUAUAGCAACAGGUUAAAACUCAAAGGACUUGGCGGUGCUUUAUAUGCCUAGAGGAGCCCGUUCUGUAAUCGACAAGCCCCGAUAUACCUCGCCACCCCUUGCAAAUCCAGUCUAUACACCGCCACCUUCAGCAAACCCUAAAAAGGAAGAAAAAUGAGCACAGGUAUCUUAACAUUAAAAAGUCAGGUCAAGGGGCGCCUGGGUGGCUCAGUCGGUUGAGCGUCCGACUUCGGCUCGAGGUCCGCGAGUUUGAGCCCCAUGUCGGGCUCUGUGCUGACAGCUCGGAGCCUGGAGCCUGCUUCGGAUUCUGUGUCUCCCUCUCUCUCUGCCCCUCCCCCGCUCAUGCUCUCUCUCUCUCUCUCUCUCUCUCUCUCUCUCUGUCAAAAAUAAAUAAACAUUAAAAAAUUUUUUUAAAAAGUUAGGUCAAGGCGUAACCUGUGAGGUGGGAAGUAAUGGGGUACGUUUUCCAUGCCAGAACACUUUCCAUGAAGUCCUUAUGAAAUUAAGAACCAAAGGAGGAUUUAGUAAUAAAUUGAGACUAGAGAGCUCAAUUGAAUCGGGCCAUGAAGCACGCACACACCACCUGUCACCCUCCUCGAGUGACAAAACCCAAAGACGAUCUAUUCGAACCGUAAAAAACACAAGAGGCAAGUCGUAACAAGGUAAGCAUACUGGAAAGUGGGCUUGGAUAAAACGAGAC